CCGAUUAGUAAAUAUCUUCUCAUUUUUCGUUGGAUAUCCCUCCUCCACGUCCCACAUGUCAAGCUGCCACCAAUCAAAUUUCCUCCCUCUCAUUCUCAUCGACUGUCUUGCUCAAUUCUGACUUUUCCUUCUUUCUCUUCAUAAUUAUCUUUCUUCUUCUUCUUCUCUAUUUCUAUAUAUAUAUAUCUCACCAUCCUUAUCCCCCAUCCACUGUCAUACUCGACACACCCAUCCAUUCUCCUUUCUUUCCAUUUUCUUUCUUUUGCUGCAGCAGACCCAUUUCAUUUCCUUAUUCAUGUUACUUCCUUUCUUUUCUCUUGUUGCCAGGGUACCAUUUCUUUUCAUUAUUCUCUCUAAUUAUUUUCUUUUCCAACGUGCACCACCAGCACCCAUUCCUUUUUCUUCAUUUCUUCCAUGCCAACUUCAUCACCAUAUAUGCUGAUUUCUUCUUCUCCAUUACGUGCAAUCACCAGCCACCAACAACAUCAUCUUCUUCUUUAUUUUCGUGAGCCACCCCCAUGAAACAACUAUGGCUUCCACCUUGCUUUCCUCUCUUGCAGCAAGUCACCACACCACCAUUUCUUUCUCUUGAAGCAAACCACCAUCAUCUUCAUCUUCCAAUUUUAUGGGUACGAAGGACGAAAGUGCCUUGCGACGAAGCUAAAGAAUAGAAGGAAGCGAGCCGACGCGGAAAACAAAGAUGUGAUAGGAUUGGAGUUGCAGUUUAGGAAGAAAAUUGGCUAAGGCGAUGGAGAACCCUCGAUGAAGCUUGACUUUUGUACGAGUCGGAGCUGAAGACUUGAAGAUUAGUGGAAGACAUGAAGAGUAGAGUCGGGUUUAAGGUUAGAGCCUUGGGUUAGAGAGCUUACCGUUAUUGGUUUAAGCUUGCCUAAUAAUUUUUAGGAAUUUAUAUUUGAGUUUCCGGGUAGGUUCCGAUGUUUUGCUUUCCGGCGGUUCCCCGAUGUGGAGAUCGUAGGGAGUAUGUCGGAUUUAUGGUGUCAUUGCAUAAUAGGUUUUUUGUUGAGUUGUUUCUAUUGGUUAGGUUUUGUAGUUGGGAGUAUGCAUGACAUGUUUUGGAAAUACAUUUGAAAAGAAAAAAAAGAUAUACUAGUGUUUAUACAUUCUUUUGGAAAAUAUUGCAUAUUUACUUUGAUAGGUUACUAAAGUGACACCCGAAAUUCGGGGCGUUACAAAUACUUGUUGGGUUUGUGGGUGAGCAGGUUUGGGUGCGAGGGUAUCUAGAUCUUGAUACAAUCUUUGGUGAAGGAGAAAAUGUAAAGGUAUUGAGGGUACGGUAUUAGGUGUUGAAAGUGGUGGCUUGCUACAAUAUUAUUAUCGGAAGAAACACUUUAAAUUGCCUGUGUGUAGUGAUUUCAAUGGCUCAUUUGGCGGUCAAAUACCCGCUGGAUAAUUGCUAGAUUGGGCGGAUCAAGGUGGAUAAGAAACGAGCGUGGGAAUGUUACAACAAUUGUUUGAACACGACAACUGGUCAUAGGUGCUACAAAAUAGACACACCGCUUGAAAGCUGAGAUCCCAGGGGCGAGGGGCGAUUGAACAGGCCAGAGUCCAUUGAGGAGACUAAGACUUUGAGAUUUGGCGUGAGAGUUCUAAAGGUGGGGACUAGACUUUCUAAGGAGCAGGAGGAUCGGCUGGCGAACUUGCUAAGUGAGAAUCUAGAUUUAUUCGCGUGGACUAUCAAGGAUGUGCAUGGAAUAUAUCCAAACUUUAUCUGUCAUAAGUUGGCUUUAAACCCAAGAAUCAAACUAGUGGCACAGACCCGUAGAUGCAUAGGCGAUGAGAAGGACAAAGUUGUACAACAAGAGGCAGACAACCUCUUGGCGGCUCAAUUAAUUAAGGAACCUACAUGGCUGGAAAAUGUGGUGAUGGUGAAAAAGGCGAACGACAUAUGGAGGAUGUGUACGAUUUUUACUGAUCUCGACAAGGCUUGCCCCAAGGAUUCCUACCCUUUACCAAGUAUUGAUAAGCUAGAUGAUGGGGCGUCAGGAAACGAGUUGCUUAGUUUAAUGGAAGCUUAUUUAGGAUACAACCAAAUUCGCAUGCAUCAGGCGGAUGAAGAUAAGACGACGUUCAUGACCGCCAGGGUCAAUUAUUGUUAUCGAACGAUGCCUUUCGGGUUGAAAAAUGCAGGGGCAACUUACCAGCGGCUUAUGGGUAGAGUCUUCGCAGCGCAAAUUGGAAAGAAUAUGGAAGUGUAUGUCGAUGAUAUGAUAGUGAAAUCAGUUGUGGGAGUGAGCCAUUAUGAGGACUUGGCAGAGGCUUUUGGCGAAAUUAGGAAGCAAAACUUGCGCCUAAAUCCUGAUAAAUGUUCUUUUAGGAUUCAAGGUGGAAAGUUUUUGGGGUUCAUGAUCACAUCUAGUAGAAUUGAAGGCAUUUUUAAAGACACAUUGCGCUUUCAUGCUUCAAGCUUGGUGUCUUGUGGAUUGGGCGAGCCCCCAGGCCUUAGAGGGACUCGCCCAGAGGCAGUAGGGCCUCAGAGUUUCGCGCACCAAGGGAAAACUGGUUGACCUAGGAAAUUAGUAGACCUCUCCUUUGGGCAACCGCCUAGGGCGAUGAGCACAUGUAAGAGAGUUGAGCCUAAAGUAGUACGGCCCAACAAGCCCAUUAGAGUUGAAAUUUGGGGCCUAAGUAACCUCUAUUUAAGGGGACUUGACAUUCAAUGUAAGGGACUUUGGGACUCAUUAAUCAACUGAAUUAGACUAUUACCAUUUACUAAGCUCUGCUAGGUGAAGAGGUAUGAAAAACGGUAGAAAAGGGGGUUUGAAUAACGUUUUCAAGAUAAAACUUCCACCUUAAAGAUUUUAACAAAUCUUUCGAGAACUAAGUGUUAAAGAUAAGAGAUAGAAAAGCACAAAAGGAUUUUUAUCCCGGUUCACUUGAUAAAUCCCUUAAGCUAAUCCAGUCCACCCGUUAAGGUGAUUUCUUCCUUCUUAGAAUGAAGGCAAUCCACUAAUCAGGUAAAGUGUUACAACUGCACUUGAAACCUACAAGUGACUAACAAUUACACUGACUUAGCUCACACUAAGAUUCACUCUCUUAGUCUUCUCUAGGAUCCGAUCGACCUUGAUCUCCUAAAGGUAACUAAACAAACUGUUUAAGAAAGAAUGUUUACAAAGGAUUUGCUUCUGAAAAGCUAAUGGUAAACACAAUGAAUUCAGAUGAAAGAAUGCUUAGAAGGUUUUUGAAUAUAGCUUGCGCGUGUGUAAUUCUUCCAACCGCAUCUUUCAAACUUCAGCCUCUAUUUAUACUCCAAGGAUUAGGGUUUGAAUCGUUGCAUGGAAAUGCUACCGUUGGAGGGCAGUUCUAGAAAUUCCAGCUUCUGCUGUGGCUGAGAAUGUUAGGUAGGUCGUCAGGAUACUACAUUUGCUUUUGUACUUGGAUAGUGACUUGACCUUUAAACCUAGGAGACUUCUGAUCAGGGGAAUGCUUCAUGUUGGAACUUGUGAAGCCGGUUGAUCAGAGUCAGAGGGGGAAAGCACAGAUCCUCUGACCGUUGUAUCUUCUGAUUCUGAACUCAGAGGGAAGUACAUGGUCUUCAGAGUUUCUUGCUUCUGGACAUCAGAGUUUUCACUAUUCAGCUUCUGGAUCUUCAGAGUCUUCUACACCAUCAGAACAUCUGAACCUUCAGAGUUUCUUGGUUGUCAGAACUUCUGGAUCUUCAUAACUUCAAGUGACUGAGUCCAUAUCAGAGCUUGUAUAACUUCAGAUCUUCUGAAGCAUUUCUACUGUUCAGAGUGAACAUAGAUGUUGCGAAAGCGUUGCUUGGGUCACUCUUUAUGCACAGUGCUUCUGAUUUGUGUGAGAUUAAAUUGAGGUCAGAGCUUAUAAAUAGCACACUCAGAAAAACACGUUAGAGUACCAUAAUUGUUCGUACUCAAAUGUUAACUUAUAAUCAUCAAAACAUAGAGUUGUACUACUCGAUCAAAACUUGAUCUAACAAUCUCCCCCUUUUUGAUGAUGACAAAACUAAGUAUUUUGAUGAACAAUUCUUAAACAGUAAACUGAAUUCACUCAGAGUUUAGAGAUAUAGAAUAAGACUUAUCCUGAUGUGACUAGUGUAUUUUUCUCAUUCUGAAUCCAAGUCACAGCUUGAUUCUGAGCAUAGCUCCCCCUGAAUCUAAGACUUAAUGAAAACGUUAGAGAUGUCUAGAUUCUGAGCUAAAUAAUGUAAGAGUUCAGAGUGAAAGCGCAUGACAUAGAUGAAAUAUAAUAAUCGGAGCGCAUACGUAUUCAGAGUCAACGUUAAGUGGUAUCAGAGUCAAAUAGAAUCACUUCAGAAGAAGUGAAAUGUAUUCCUUGUAUUUGCCCAGUGACACAUCUAUGGUCAUAACAGUGGAACUCUAAAAUUCUCCAAAGUACAUCACACUACACAUCAAAAACUAGGUGUACUCCCCCUUUUUGUCAUAAGCAAAAAGUAUGGGGUGUGAAAAACUCAGCUUGAAGUACAAGGUACUCCCCCUCAGAGAAGGUCUGAGUGAAAAGAUGGAGAAAUAAACGCGGGAAGAAUGAGAGUUACGCGAAGUAAAGAAGGGAGUUAAUGCAAAAUAAGAAUCGUUUACCACCGGCCACGGGAGUAAAGAGAACUUCAUUUACCAAGGACUUAACCUCGAGAAACUGUAGGAGCAAUAACUUCCAAGAGCGAAUGAAGCUUAUAUAAAGCGAGUUAGAGGAGGGUAAGCUUCACAACUCGAUCGAUUCCAUAAAAAGAAAAAUGGCAUCAUACAUGGUAGCACUGGAAGAGCUCAGAAGAAAGGCCUUCGAGGAGGACUUGUUCCUUAACAUAAGACAUCCAGAUGGUACAAAGACCAUACCAGAGCUGACGAGGACACUGCUUGAAAAGGACCUUUGUCCAGAGCUGAAGAAUGACUUGAAGGAAUUCCUUGCCUUCGUGGAAGAAAUUCAAGAACUCAGCCAGCUUGAGCUGAGGCUGCUGGAAGAGAAAGAAACCAUAGAAAAGAAGCUCAAGACGACAGAAGAGGUUCUGGAGAGGGAUGAGCUAAACGUCAGUCUCAACAACAUCCAGUAUACUUUGGAUCGUCUGGAGAAAAAUAGGGCAGAGCAGCGCCAAGAGUGCAGAAGAAUGAGGAGGGAUCCUCCAUUCUAGAGUUUAGGAAAGAAAAUGUAUGAUGUAAAAACAGAAUUGAUAUGAAUAAAGGAAAGAAAAUUUUGAAAACACAAUGUGAUAAAUAUAUAUAUAUAUAUAUAUAUAUGUGCAAUGAUAAACAACAACGAACAAAGCAUAACAACUAAAGUAACUUAAAGAAAAUAAAAAAGUUAAAAUAAAACUAAGUUAAGAGAGAAAACGAAGAGAUCCUAAGACUAGGGCUUGUCAGAGCGACGCAGAAGUUCCUUAAGAAUUUGCUUCAUGUCCAUCAGCAGAGACUCAUGAGUAUCAAGACGUUGUUCCAUGAGAUCGAGUCUGGAAGAGCUUGACUGUGUGGAGCUAGAAGGAACAUUCUGAGCAGAUUGAUGAGCUGGAAUGGAAGCAGAAGCAGCAGGAGUAAAGACCACUGGUGCAAGUGCUUGGCAUCUAAUGGCUUCAGCUUCAGCUUCAAGUCUCUCAGCUUCUAAUCGUGCUUGUUCAGCUUGAGCUGCUGCUUGACGUGCAGCUUCCUCUGCUUGCUCUUCCUUUCUUCUGGCCUCUUCAACAACUUCAAGGAGCUUAUUUCUUUGCUGUUGUUCAUGAAGAGCCACUCUCCUUGUAAACCGCUGCCUAGCAGCCUCAAUCCUCUGAUCCCUUUCUGCAGUCAGAUGCCUCAUCAUAAUAGGAACCUGAGCUACUAACCAAGUACUCAGACUAUUCCACUCUUCAGCAACAGAUUCAGCAUUCUCACUCAGGUCAGUGUGACCUUGCACAUUGCGUAGCAUCAAUGAAGCUUCAUGAUUUAAAACAUUAAUGCACUCAGAGAGAGAGGUUGGUCUGAGGUAUGUGUAGGGAACAAUAGAGAGGUUGGUUUCAGGAGAGGUUGGGUGAUUGCUACUGUUUGCCUCAGAAGCACCUUGAGGAGAGCCAAUGUCAAAGGUUUGGACAUUUGGUUCAGAGGCUCCAAGGUGAGGUUCAGAAGUUUCAACCAGAGGAUGGGGUGAUCUAUCCGAAGAGUGGUUAGACACAGAGUGUUCUAGUUCUGGUUGAACUGGCUCUUGAUGGACAGGGUCAGGUUGAGCUUGUUGGGCUAAAGGGUCUGCCUCAUGCAAAGGGUCAGCCGGGAUAGGAUCAUCUGGGUCAACUAGACGUUCUGGUCUAGGUCCAGGGUAUCUCCUAGGGCUUGGGACCGUAAGGUAAUACUCUGGGAUGGCAGACACUUUUUCUUUUCUGACCUCCAUGAAUUUACGAUGUGACUCAGAGUUGUUGGAAGGUGAGGAGUCAGCAACGUUGAUUGUGAAUGAUACAGGAGUAUAGGAAGUGGAAGGAUCAGUAUCAGUGGUUCUGGCAACCGGACGUUCUGAUGCUCUGGGGACAAAGUGAUCAGACGUUCUGGGUUCAUGUUCUGGUUGUGGAGGAAUGAUUGGUUCAUGUUCAGAGGGUUCAAGAAUUAUGGGUUCUUGUUGAAUUGUGAUGGGUGAGGUUGGUUCAUCUGGACGUGGGGUUUGAAGCAUAUUCCACAGAGGGGCUUCUUGUUGAGAAGGUUGGAAAAAGGAAGACAUUGGGGAAUUUGGUGGAGAUGUGGUUUGGACAGCAGGUUGAGACUCUAGGAUAGUAGUGAGUUGGGUGGAUGUGCGUUUGAGAAGGGUAGAAAUGGGAAGUGCAUCAAUAGAAUUUAAAUCAUCAUCAGAUUCAAUGAUAGCAGACUUACUUGUACGCACGGCAAACCGAGUCACUCUAGUAGAAGUCUCCAUCCUGAUGACUGUAGCAGCAGGUUCCACACGUGUAGCCUUCACCACGAUUCUGACUUGUUUCUUCUUCUUCUUGGGAGGAGAAGGACCAUCUUCAUUAUCGCCAUCGUCACCAUCAUCUGGCUUGGUGGUUUCAGCAUGUUUCCUCUUAGGCUGAUCAGCCUUCUUCUUCCUCUUCAGAGGAACAUCAGACUCCUCAGAGAAUUCUUCUAAGACCAUCUUCCUCUGAACUUUCCUCUUGGGAGGAGAGUCAAACUCUUGAGCUGGUGGCAAACUUCUGAAGAACUCAUCUACAUCAAUUUCAUAUCCUUGUUGCUUCAGACCAUCAAUGUAGCACAAUAUCGCUUCUGGAUUGUCUGCUUGGGUCCACAGAGGGAAGUCAUCCAGAGGCACCCUUCUUUGCCUGAUUUCAGCAGACGUAUCUUCAUGACCAGGGGCAAUUUUCUUCUUGAUCAAGCCCAUCUUCUUCAAGGAUGUGGCAGUGAAGACAUCACUGACUAUUGUGGACAGAUCUUCUGUGCAGCCUGCAUUGAUCAGAUCUUCUACGAAUUUACUUUCAAUGAAGAGAUCUGAAAGCAAUCUCCCAAAGGGGAUGUACUUGAUGGCAGACUUGAUGGAGGCAGUAGUUCUUGACUUCCUGAUACAUUCCUUCAGGUAAGAGAACAAUAAGAAGGGGAGGCAGAUCUUCUUCUUAUCUUGAAUGAAGAAUAACAUCGCCUUCUGGAAGAAGUUGAUGUAGUCAGGAGAGCUACCCUUCGGCCUUUGAUUGAUGCAGUGAAGAAGAAUCUUGGGCCAGAUUCUGAGUUUGGGAUGAAGAUCCACCAUCUUGUAGUCACUCUUGCCCGGUUUGUAGGUGGUGUAUAGAGUCUUGUUGGUUUCAUCCUUGGUUCUGGGUUUCAGCUUCGAUUCUGUCAGUUGAAAUCGAUACCCAUUUCCAGUGUCUGCACCCAGCAGAUUCACAAUCGACUUCUCAGUGAUGAUGAUUCUCCUUCCAGCAAUGUAGGAGACCACUUGAGUGUCAUCGCAGUCGGCAUGCUUCCAGAAUUCCUUGACCAAUUUGUCAUAAAUUGGUCCUCUGAGCCUGUUGAAGUACUCUUCCCAUCCCUGAGCUUGAACUUCAGGACGCGGGUCAUACCCAUUUGCAGCAAUGUUGUCCAGGUCGAAUCUCCACUCUACAAGUACUUGGAGUUCUUUCGGAGCAUAAACGCAGUGAACGGCACAGCCCCGCUCUGCGAUUGAAAUCAUCUUUUCUGACGCUUGACUUUGAUUUGGGUUCUCAGGACCCAAUUGGCCUGUAGCUUGACCUACUACCAUGUGAGGGAACCUGGUUGCAUCCGCAGCUUCAGUUUUGGUUUGUCUCACCAUUUUUGGAGUCGGUUGAAGGUUUUGGGUUGAAGAUGAAGGUGAAGGAUGAAUAGAGAGCGAGAGAGAGAUCGUGGGUAAGAAGUUUUGAAAAACUGAAGAGAGAGAGAGUAAAACCGUAAGUGUAGGAGAUUGUGUGUGUAUAGUGGGUUUUGACAAGCAACCGUUGUUGAUUCAAAAAGCUACUUAAAAUCAACGGUUAAAAAUUAAAGAUAGAUAGUAACAGUAAAUACACCUAUCACACGCAGGAGAGAAGCACAUCAACACUCAUUACAACAGAUUGUCAAAACGGGCACAAGGAACUAUGUGUCAUAGAUACUGACACACGUUUACUGUCUCAGCUUCAGAGUCAGCACCAAUGGGUACAUAAGCUCUGAUAGAGUUACCUUCUGGACUAGACAUCUUCUGAUGAAGAAGCAUCAUAGUCAGAGGUUCUGAUCCAUCUUCAUGCUGGACAAAAGUCCAUAUUCAGAUUUUUCAGAAUGAAAUUAAAUCUAUCCUCUGCUAAGGGCUUUGUAAAGAUAUCUGCCCAUUGAUGGUCCGUAUCAACAAACUUCAGAAGAAGUACGCCCUUCUGUACAUAAUCUCUAAUAAAGUGAUACUUUACCUCAAUGUGCUUUGCCCUUGAAUGUAAGAUAGGAUUCUUACUCAAUGAAAUUGCAGCAGUGUUAUCACAAUAGAUUGAGAUAUUGCUCUCUAGGAUUUGAUAAUCCUCCAGCUGAUGUUUCAUCCAGAGCAUCUGAGUGCUGCAUAUUGAUGCUGAGAUAUAUUCUGCCUCUGCAGUUGAUAGUGUAAUGGUUGAUUGCCUCUUACUUGCCCAUGAGACUAAGUUGCUUCCCAGAAAUUGACAAUUUUCAGAAGUGCUUUUUCUCUCUGUUCUAUCUCCAGCAUAAUCAGCAUCACAAUAACCUGAAAGCUUAUACUCUAAUGUUUUCUUAUACAUCAAGCCAAGGUUAGUGGUACCUUACAGAUACCUUAGGAUCCUCUUAACAGCUGUUAAGUGGGUUUCCCUUGGAUCUGAUUGGAAACGAGCACAUAAAUGAACACUAAACAAUAUAUCUGGCCUAGAUGCAGUUAAGUAUAGAAGUGAUCCUAUCAUACCACGACAGAACUUCUGACAGACUUUACCACUUGCAUCUUCUUUCUCCAGAAUGCAUGUAGGAUGCAAUGGAGUCUUAGCCACUGUAGAAUCCAGCAUAUUGAACUUCUUCAGAAGUUCUUUAGUGUACUUGCUCUGAUGGAUAUAUGUUCCUUCUGGUGUUUGAUCAACUUGUAUUUCCAGAAAGUACUUAAGUUCUCCCAUCAUACUCAUCUCAAAUUCAGCCUGCAUCAUCUCAGAAAAUUCUUUGCAUUGAGAUUGAUUAGCAGAACCAAAUAUAAUAUCAUCAACAUAAAUUUGCACAAUUAAGAUAUCAUCUUUGUAAGUUUUGCAAAAGAGAGUUGUAUCUACUUUACCCCUCACAAACUUAUUCUCCAUAAGGAAUGAGCUGAGUCUCUCAUACCAUGCUCUAGGAGCUUGCUUCAGACCAUAGAGUGAUUUCUUCAACUUGAACACAUGGUCUGGGUUCUUCUCAUCCUCAAAACCUGGGGGUUGAUGAACGUAGACUUCCUCUGAUAUGUAUCCAUUUAGGAAGGCACUCUUGACAUCCAUCUGAUGUAGAAUUAUGUUGUGAUUCACAGAGAAAGAGAUCAACAGUCUGAUUGCUUCUAGUCUUGCUACUGGAGCAAAUGUUUCUGUGUAGUCUAUUCCUUCCUGCUGGCUGUAGCCUUGGGCGACAAGCCUUGCCUUGUUUCUGACUACAUCUCCUUUCUCAUUCAACUUGUUUCUGAACACCCAUUUUGUUCCAAUUACAUGGACACUUUCAGGCUUCUUCACUAGGCUACAGACAUCAUUCUUGGAGAAUUGAUUCAAUUCUUCUUCCAUGGCCAGAAUCCAGUCCUUGUCCUGAAGAGCUUCAUCAAUUGACUUGGUUUCAAUUAAGGACACCAAUCCUUUCAUACUAAGUAGGGUCUCUUCAGAGGGUCUGAAGGCUGAUCUGGUUCUGACUGGUUCGUCUUUGUUGCCCAGAAUCAAUUUCUUAGGAUGAGCUGCAGUGAUUCUGCUCUUCUUCAGAGUUUGUGAAUCAGAGGGACCAGCUUCUUCUUCUGGUUCAUCUUCCUCUGGCUCAGCUUCCUCUGGAGCUUUGCCUUUGUCAGAAACAUUUAUACUUAAAUCUGCAAAUUUCUCAACUAGCUUUGACUGGUCAGAGUCAAGUUUAUCGUCAAAUCUAACAUGAAUAGAUUCUUCAAUAGUUUUAGCAUCAGUAUUAUAAAAUCUAAACCCUUUAGAUCUCUCAGAGUAACCAAGUAAUAGACAUUUAGAAGACUUAGCAUCAAAUUUAUGCAAUCUAUCCUUAGUAUUAAGAACAUAACAAACACAACCAAAAGGAAUAAAGUAAGAAAUGUUGGGUUUUAUGUUCUUCCACAAUUCAUAGGGAGUCUUAUUCAGAAUUGGUCUCACCGAGAUUCUGUUCUGAAUGUAACACGUUGUGUUUACUGUCUCUGCCCAAAAGUGCUUAGCCAUGCCAGUUUCUUGGAGCAUGUUUCUAGCCAUCUCCUGAAGAGUUCUGUUCUUCCUCUCAACAACACCAUUUUGUUGAGGAGUUCUGGGACAAGAGAAAUCAUGUGCAAUUCCAUAGGAAUCAAACAGACUCUCAAACUUGUCAUUCUCAAACUCUCCACCAUGGUCACUUCUGACACGCACAAUCCUACAAGCCUUCUCGUUUUGCACUUGGGCUAUGAAGGUAGAGAACACAACAUGAGACUCAUCCUUGCGGGUUAGAAACUUUACCCAUGUCCAGCGGCUAUAGUCGUCAACAAUGACCAUCCCAUAUCUCUUGCCACCUAUAGACUCAGUUUUCACUGGUCCAAAAAGGUCGAUAUGCAGAAGUUCCAACGGCCUUGAGGUUGAGACAACAUUCUUUGCCUUGAAAGGGACUUUUGUGAAUUUACCUUUCUGACAUGCUUCACAAAGAGCGUCUGAAGAGAACUUCAGAGUGGGCAAGCCCCUGACAAGGUUUAGCUUGCUCAGCUGAGAAAUCUUUCUCAUACUGGCAUGCCCUAACCGUCUAUGCCAUACCCAUUGCUCUUCAUUAACAGACAGAAGGCACUUCACAUUCUGAGCCUCCAACUCAGAUAAUCUGAUCUUAUAAAUGUUGUUCUUCCUCUUGCUGUUAAACAGAACAGAGCCAUCGAUCUGACUUACAACCCGACAUGACUUUUGAUUAAAGAUAACAUCAUAACCCUUGUCAGCUAAUUGACUUAUAGACAAUAAGUUAUGAGUUAAGCCGUCUACCAAUAAAACAUUAUCAAUGCAUGGACUACUAUCUACACAAAUAGUACCAGUACCAACAAUUUUACCUUUUUCGUUGCCACCAAAGCCAACUUCACCUCCAGGCUUAAGUUUUAGCUCUUGGAACAUACGCCUUUCUCCCGUCACGUGACGCGAGCAUCCACUGUCCAGAUACCAUGAAUGGUGUUUCAGUGGAGCUAUCAAGGAUAUCUGCAACAUAGAUAAUCUUAUCCUUAGGUACGCACUUUCUGGGUCCUCUCUUGUUAGUUACCCCAGAGGUUCUGAUCACCUUGGGUUUCUCAACAUGAUAAUGUAAAGGAAUUUUUGCAUGAUAUUUAGACAUGGAGAAAGAUCCCUUUUUAAGAGGAGGUUUAGCAACUUCAGCAGGUAAAGGAUCAGGCAAUAUGGUACUAGAGGGAACUAAGCAUUCAUAUAAGGAUUUAGCUUUAGGCAUAGAAGGCUCAUUUCUAAUAGAUUUAGAAUAGCCAAUGCCAUGAAUUUCAUUUCUGCUCACGCCAUAGAUCAAUGAAGCCAUCAAGCUUCUAUCUACGCUUUUUGCCAGGAAUCUUUGAAAAGAUUUUUCAUACUUAGAUUCAUGCUUACUAUCAGAGGCAUCACAGGCAAUAACUUCUUCUAACUUAGCAAUUUGUUUCUUAAGCACAGAGUUAGAGUUCACUAAAGCAUGGUUAUCAUUUUUCAAAUCAGAAAUGAUUUUCUCAUGUUCAGAAGGAGUUUUAGAGACAGCAGGUAAGUUCUUUUUCAGCUUCUUAUGCUUAGAAAAUAAAGAAUUAUACUUAUCCAUAAUAUCAGACAAAGCAUGUUUCAGUUCAGAGGUUGAGAAAGAAGCGAAUACCUCAUUUUCAUCGUCUGAAUUAGGGUCUCCUUCUGAUUCCGAGUCAGAGUCAACAGCUUCCUUUGACUCUGCUCCUCUGUCUUUGACAAUGGCCAUGAGUCCUUGGACUUCACCAUCAGAGUCAACAUCCUCUGACUCUGAUUCAUCAAAAGUCACCAUCAGACUUUUCUUAGUCUUGAAGUGCUUCUUUGGCCUCUUGUCCUUCUUUAAUUUUGGACAGUCACUUUUGUAGUGCCCUGAUUCCUUGCACUCAAAGCAUGCGACUUCCUUAAUUGAGGACUUCUUCUGACCUGAGGAUUUAGACUUUCCUUUGGCCUUUCCAGAGCCUUUGUACUUGCUCUGCCUAUGCUUCCAGAUACGGUUGAGUCUUUUAGAGAUCAGAGUCAGCUCAUCUUCAUCAGACUCUUCUGAUGCUUCUUCAGAUUCUUCUGCUUCAGCUUGAAGAGCUUUUGGCUUCUCUGCUUUAGCCUUCUCAGAUUUUGAUUUUAAGGCUAUUGACUUCUUCCUCAGAUCUUGCAUCUCUGAGCGCUUCAGCUCAUGGCACUUCAGUAUGCUGAUGAGUUCUUCUAAACUCAUACGCUCAACAUCUCUUGUGAGCUCUGUUGAAGUCACCAAGGGCAUCCAGCUUUCAGGAAGACUUCUGAUGACCCUUAUGACAUGAUCUUUCAUUGUGUAGCUCUUGUUGAGAGGUCGUAUUCCAGCUACAAGCAACUGAAAUCUGGAAAACAUUUCUUCAAUGGACUCGUUUGGCUCCAUGACGAAGGAUUCAUACUUUUGGAUCAAGGACAAUGCCUUUGAUUCUUUGACUUUCUUGUUUCCUUCAUGAGACAUCUUCAGGGAUUCAAAAAUGCUCUUUGCAUACUCACGAUCUGUAAUCUUCUGGUACUCUUCAUAAGAGAUAGCACUUAGAAGAAUUGCUCUAGCUUUGUGAUGUUGUGAGUAAAGCUUCUUUUGAUCUGCAGUCAUCUCUGACCUUGGGAUCUUCUUUCCUUCUUCAUCAGUUGGACGCUCAUAGCCAUCCACAAUAAUAUCCCAGAGAUCUGCAUCAAAACCCAGAAAGAAACUUUCAAGUCUAUCUUUCCAAUAUUCGAACCUUUGACCGUCGAACAUGGGAGGCUUUGCAUUGUAACCAUCUCUUUGAGUUUCACUGGUGGUAGCCAUUGUUUUUCACACCGGCCCGGAUCACUGAACACUGUUAGGUGUGGUAAUCAGAACUUGCGCUCUGAUACCAAUUGAAGGUAUGAUAAACGGUAGAAAGGGGGGGUUUGAAUAACGUUUUCAAGAUAAAACUUCCACCUUAGAGAUUUUAACAAAUCUUUCGAGAACUAAGUGCUAAAGAUAAGAGAUAGAAAAGCACAAAAGGAUUUUUAUCCUGGUUCACUUGAUAAAUCCCUCAAGCUAAUCCAGUCCACCCGUUAAGGUGAUUUCUUCCUUCUUAGAAUGAAGGCAAUCCACUAAUCAGGUAAAGUGUUACAACUGCACUUGAAACCUACAAGUGGCUAACAAUUACACUGACUUAGCUCACACUAAGAUUCACUCUCUUAGUCUUCUCUAGGAUCCGAUCGACCUUGAUCUCCUAAAGGUAACUAAACAAAUUGUUUAAGAAAGAAUGUUUACAAAGGAUUUGCUUCUGAAAAGCUAAUGGUAAACACAAUGAAUUCAGAUGAAAGAAUGCUUAGAAGGUUUUUGAAUAUAGCUUGCGCGUGUGUAAUUCUUCCAACCGCAUCUUUCAAACUUCAGCCUCUAUUUAUACUCCAAGGUUUAGGGUUUGAAUCGUUGCAUGGAAAUGCUACCGUUGGAGGACAGUUCUGGAAAUUCCAGCUUCUGCUGUGGCUGAGAAUGUUAGGUAGGUCGUCAGGAUAGUACAUUUGCUUUUGUACUUGGAUAGUGACUUGACCUUUAAACCUAGGAGACUUCUGAUCAGGGGAAUGCUUCAUGUUGGAACUUGUGAAGCCGGUUGAUCAGAGUCAGAGGGGGAAAGCACAGAUCCUCUGACUGUUGUAUCUUCUGAUUCUGAAAUCAGAGGGAAGUACAUGGUCUUCAGAGUUUCUUGCUUCUGGACAUCAGAGUUUUCACUAUUCAGCUUCUGGAUCUUCAGAGUCUUCUACACCAUCAGAACAUCUGAACCUUCAGAGUUUCUUGGUUGUCAGAACUUCUGGAUCUUCAUAACUUCAAGUGACUGAGUCCAUAUCAGAGCUUGUAUAACUUCAGAUCUUCUGAAGCAUUUCUACUGUUCAGAGUGAACAUAGAUGUUGCGAAAGCGUUGCUUGGGUCACUCUUUAUGCACAGUGCUUCUGAUUUGUGUGAGAUUGAAUUGAGGUCAGAGCCUGUAAAUAGCACACUCAGAAAAACACGUUAGAGUACCAUAAUUGUUCAUACUCAAAUGUUAACUUGUAAUCAUCAAAACAUAGAGUUGUACUACUCGAUCAAAACUUGAUCUAACACUAGGGUUUGGGGUAUACUCCUUCUUUGAGUGUUCAUUACCGGAACGAAAACCAUACCGUGAAUAUAAGAUUUUAACAUUUAUAUUGAAUUUUGAAGCUAAUCUAUAUGAUAUAUUACCAUAUUUUGUAAAUCCACCAAACCUCUGCUCCUCACUCUGUCAUCCUGAAUGUAAAAAACUAAAUAUUUGUAGAAAACGUCAAUUUAUAAAAAGAAAACUAAAUGGAUAUGACACCUUGAUGGAAUAAAGAGGAGUAGCCUAACCUUUUCAGUGAGCUAUAUAAAUUCACUAAUUAAAUUAUACUUUUAAAAUGAGUCAUCAUGAAGUCAUAAAUGAAGAAGUAAUGGGUGGUUGGGUUGUUGCACAUUCGGCAGUUCCAAGGGCGGUCGUCUGCAUUGUAGCCUACGGCGCACAGCUUCAGGUUGUAACAAUCCUCGUAACAUAAUCCUCUGACCUUUUCGAAGGGAUCCCUUACGUGGGAUGUGGUGGCAUAAACGGAGGGUUGGUCGAUCGCCUUCGCUAGAAGGACGGGCUGGACCGGAGUAGGCAAGGGUGUCAAGGGUUUUAAGCCGGAAGGCUUUUAUUUGGGAUUGCGACAAGGGUUGGUUGACCGCGCUACUGAAGGAAACAAUAGGGUUUUGUUCUGGCGUUUUGGACGUCGUGUCAGAAGUUUUUCGUUCAUCAUUUGCAACCAUGGUAAGCGGGUAACAAGACAGAGAAAUAGAAAGAAGGGAAAGAGAAGGACUGGAAUAUAAAUUAAAGAACAAAGCUAUUAGAGUGGGAAAAGAGGAACUCACCAGAAGGGACGGUGUUUGGAGGUUGAAAAGAAGGAAAGCUUGUAGGAUAGGGUGCGCCGGUACAGUGGAUGAUCAGAGACUUGAGAGAACAGAGAGGAGGAGCAAGGAAUUUGGCAAUCGAAAGUGGUAAAUGAAAUCUUGGAGGGGUUUUUAUAGACCGAGUAAAAAACCUUUGGUAUGGGGCACGUCGCUUGGACGCGCUCAUUGUUCGAAAAGUGAGGGAAAUUGAGGCGACGCUUAAUCAUGAUUACCUCGGGAAGACGCGACGCAUUAAAGGAAAUGAUUGAUGGGGAUUUGACGUUUCGAUUUUAGAUGUGACGUUUUGGGUAAGGUGCCUGGCGUUUUGGUCAGUAAGGGUUGGGAUAGCUGUAUGGCAGUUUCAUAGUUGUUGGAAGCUGAGAACGUGUGUGUGCAAAGGCGAGGCUAGUAAGAGAAAUUUGGCGAGCAAAUGAGAAAUUCCCUGGGCGGAGAAGCUAUUGUGGCAUUAUACUUGGGAAUAGUCCUUGCGCGUUGGUCGAAAAUGCCAAUUGAGGGACGCAGUACCAAGUGACGAGCGGCAAAAGGCGAUCUGUCGGAGGAGUUUUUUGGGUGGUGAUGAGGCGACAAAGACACUACGCUUUAAAGCGCUUCCAGCUCGGUGUCUUGUGGACUGGGCGAGCGACGUUCACCCAUGGGGAACUGAUUGAGAUUUAAAAGGAAUUGGAAAUUGAAGGCAUUUUUAAAGACACACUGCACUUUCAUGCAUCCAGGCCGAGGUGCAUUUAUCUUUUUCCUUCUUUUAAUCUCUCAAGGAUUGCAUGUUUUUUUGCAAUUUUAUUUUUCUUCAAAUACUGGCUUUAAUCUCAAUUUCCAAUUCAAAACACAAUGAAUGACCAAGAUGCUGCAGAAUUUGAGACAACCACGUCUACUCCUCCCGUCACUGUUUCUAACAACGAAAGUAUGUUACUCUCUGACUCACGUCCUCGUAAAAAUUGUUCAGAUGUUUGGGACCACUUCACACGUCAUCUUGGUCUGGUAAAGAAAGCUAAGUGCAACUAUUGCGACACCUUGAUCAAGCGUGAUAAUGGGACGAGUUCAAUGCACUCUCAUACGGGGAGAUGCAAGAUGCAUCCAGAUAGAGAAGUUUAUAAAAGGCAAAAAUCAGCUUCUUCAACCUCAACAGUGAAUGUUUCCCCUUCAUUUGUCAGGUUUGACCAAGAGAAAGGCCAAGAAGAGCUAUUGAGGUAUUUUGUGGCCAUGGAGAUCCCUUUUUCGGCACGUGGAGCAUCCAGCUUUCAAGAAGUUUGUAAAUUUUUUGCAACCAAUAUUUGGUACUCCCUCACGCACAACUGCAGCACGUGAUGUUUUUAAGCAAUUUGAGAUUGAGAAAGAAAAUUUGAAGACGUUCCUUUAUCUCGAUUUAGUGCAGGUAAAUCGAUUUCACUCUUACAUAUAUAUAUUUGAUUGAUAUGAUAACUACCGCUAGCAAAAUCGAUUGUACUGCAGCAUUGUACGAUUUUUUGUGUAUCUUAUAUACUGCAGCUGAUGACCCUGUUUUAGUAGUGUUUUUAUGGUCAUUUCUUUGGUUGUUUUGAGUCUUUUUGUUGAAUCUCAUGUAGUGUUUCAUGCAUUCUCAUGCAUUUUUAUUCUUUUCUUUAGUCUUUAUUUUGUUUUGGUAAUUUAGUAGUUUUAUAGGUAGUUUUCUUGCAUUUUAAGUAAAGUUUAGGACUUACAUGGUUUUGUUGUGUUUUAUGAAGGACCUCUUGUGCUAAUGAGCUCUUGGAGCUUCUAGAAUCUUCCUUGACUUGUUGGUUAGGUUUGGAGAGCAGAAACUGAAGGAGAAGAAGGCCAAGAAGCAUGGAAUUGAUGAAGAACUUAAAGAGGAUUGAAAAGAGGAGUUUCAGAAGCCAAAAAGUCAUUUUCAGGCGAGCUUAAGCGCCUAGGCGCUGGGAAUGGGCGCCUAGGCGCCAAUAGGGUCAGAGGCAUGUUUUUUCAACAUGCAAUUGGCGCUCAGGCGCUCUGAAUUGGCGCCUGAGCGCCCAGUUUCGUUCAUUUUGCCUAUAAAUAAGGCUUAGGCCAAUUUCUUUGAUACAUUUGGACAUUUUACUCAUUUUUGAUCAAGUUUGAGAGUUGAGGAGAACUUUGGGGCCAAGGGAGGCUUCCAACUUGUACUUUUUCUCAGGUUUCAUUUACAUUUUCUUCAUGAAUUCACUAGCCAUGAGUGGCUAGUUUACUUUUUGCUUUGGGUUAAGAGAUUCUAUGAAAUUUUAGUUUGUUAAAUCCUAUCUCUAUGCAUGAGUUCUUGAUUUAAUCUUGUAUUUCAAUUCCUUAUUGCAUGUUUAGCUUUGGUGCACCUUUGCUAUAGGCUAGAUUAUAAUUAAAUGGAAAUUUGUUAUGAUUUAGGGACAUGAAUUGGAAUAGAUCCUUCUAUACUUGCUUCUAGGCAUAGAGUGAGGGUAGGGUUUUGUUGGCCUGAAUAACCAUGCUAUCAUACCUCUUAUGAAUGUUUAAGUACACAAGGAAUUGGGCUUAUCUUUCAAUUUGAGAGAAUUACUUUUGUGAGGAAUCAACUAGUAAGUACAUAGGCUAUAACAACAAGAGAUAAAUCAAGAUAUCACAUGCAUAGGAUAGGUGGACAAAAAUGGAUUAGAUGAUCAAAAACCCAAGGCAAUUUUCCAUCAUUUGCUUUUCACAACUUAUUCAUCAUUGCUCUUUUGCAAAACUUUUGUCACAAUCAACCAAAACCAAUUUCUGAAUUUUACUGCUUUAAGAACUUGCAAACUUUAGACUUAAAUCAGCAAUUCUCACUCACAAUCCCUGUGGUUCGAUAUUUUAAAACCCGAAGGUAUUCGUACACUUGCGAAUUGACCAACAGCAGCAUUGUACGAUUUUUGCAGAAUAACCUUGGAAAUAAUACCAUUUUCUGAAGGUCCCUCUGUUAAUAUGAUUUUUUUUUUUCAUUUUUUUUUUCUUUGUGCAGAGAUGGAAAGGAGUUCUCGCCAAUUUUGUUAAGGGUUUAAAGGCGUGUUUUUUUCGUGUAUAAAGGACAAGAAUUUAGAAGAAAAUGACAACCAGUGAAGAAAAACCCAAAUGGGAAUUUGAGAAGAAAAAAACUCAACUUUGAAAUUGAAAAAGUAAAAGGGAGUUGAGGGAGACUAGAACCCCCCAUAAAGGGUGAGGGCAUAGUUGGAAAAUUUUGGUGAUACUUGUUGUUUCUUUAUGUCAGGUGGGUGCUGGUAUAUGUGAGCUUUGUGGGUGUUUUAACUGGUGUUAUCUGAGGGUGUUUAGCUGCCCAUAUUUGUUAUUGCUUCUAAUUUUUUUCAAGAUACCUGGGACGUGUCUCUCAUCUAAAAUUGGGUUGAUGGAGUGGUUACGGUGUAAACAGGUGACGGAGUUCUGGGAUUGGUGUGGUGAAGAUGAUGAAGAAGAGGAGGAGGAAGAUAAAGAAGAUGAAGGAUGAUGAAGAUGAACACAAUGAUGAUGAAAAAGAGCCGGAAGAAUAAAAGAAGUGAUUUUAUGAUGGUUGUCUCAUGUUGAUUGUUUUUUGAUGAUUGAAGCAGCUUACUAAGGUGUCCGAAUAGGAAGGACAUUCAAGGUAUUCCAUGGGAGAACUUGAACAUGAUAGAAUGUGAUGGAAGAAUAUCCAUAUGAAGAUGUUGGUGUAGUUACAAACUCAACCAGAUAGUGGGAGAGAGAAUUGAUGUCUUUGUGAGCAUUGUGAGCAUUGUGAGCUCCAAAAUCCCAUUCAAAGGAACUGGAAAGAAUAUAUUGGAGAUGACAUUCAAUAUUGUUUCUGCUGUCAAGGUCCAAAGAUUUCAAUUCAAUAACAUUUAAUUUUAUCAAUGUUAAGAUGCAGGCCCGUGAGCAGAGGAAAGGAAAUGGAAUAUGUACAUGUAUACCUUAGUUUUGUUGGGAUCAGUAGUUUAUUGAACAUAAGUUUAUUGAGCAAGCAUAUCUCUAAAAUAAAUGGGAUUGGUUAAAAAUUAAUGGAUUAGUUAGAAGUCUUAGAAAUUGGAAUCGCUUACAAUUUUAUUUUAUGAAGGAUCUUUGCUAACUCAGUUAUAUGUUGUUUAGAGUCAAAUAGAGCUAGAUUUUCUAGAGCCUUUAUGAAAUUUUAUAAGUACUCAUAUCAUUCACACUGCUGCUGUAAUUCAAACUCAAAUAUCUGCAUUUUCCCUGGCCUUAUUGCUGAUUAGUUUUGGGACUUAUAUCUAUCUUUUUUAUUUGUAGGACUUGCUAAGUCAACUUUCUGGUGCAGAUAAUGAUGAGUUUGAUGGAGAAAAUUAGAAUGCUUCUGCCUUCCUUCCACAGGUUGUCAUUGGAAAGAUGAAUGCUUAGUCCAUAGAGCAAUGUAAGAAGUUUGGGAAUUCGUCGUCGAAUGUCAUCAGGGGCGGAUCUACAGCUAAGUGAGGGGUUCAGAUGAACCCCCUAAAAAAGAAAAAAACUCUACUUACCCCCUAUAUAGUUUUUUUUUUGAACCCCCUGAGAUUUUUCAUUUGCACCCAUAGACCCAUUGACACCUCUCUCACACACUCACAGACUCACUCAUUCUCAUCUCACGAGUCUCUCACUAGGUCAUGCCCUCACCCUCUUUCUCUCACUCUCAGUCUCUCACUAGAUUUGGCCGUCAUCACUCAUCAAGCACACAGCACGAGCACGGCGCACCACCGGCCACCAGCUCAUCACCACGCCACGCCACGCCACGCCACGCCACCACCGUCCACCAGUCCAGCCGCGCGCCUCUCUAUCUCCGUAUCUCACGAGAGGGUCACUGCUCUGCGUUGGGAAUCUGCAUUCAACUCUCAAGAGAAAUGGAUCUGUGGAAGACACAUGUGCAUUCAAGCAACUUGCUAGGUUCUGCUGCAAUUUUAAGUGCAGGAGAUGGCUAACUGGGAGGUGUCUUUGGCUAUUAUUUGUAUGUUUGAUGAUUGUUUGGGGUCCUUGGCUGGUUGGUUUUAUUAAGACAGUAGGGGACGUUGGAUUGGGUUUCUACUUGAGUGGUGAUUUGGCUUUGAUAGUUUGAUUGACUUCAAAGGAAAAGGCUUAAGACUCAUGUAUAUCAACUCUGUAACCUGAUUUAUCCACAGCGCUGGACGCCAUACAGUACAGGUCUUGGUUGUGGUUAAAAGGAAAAUUGUGAGGCUUUAAUUACUCGCAGUUUGAAUGGAUUACUAACCCCAUUGUUUGCUUGGAAUCAUGUAAAUUGGUUUAUCAGGAAGCAGGACUGGUUUGUUUGGGUAUAUCAGAGCUGGCAGGAGCAUCAAAGUUGGGUGUGGCAAUUGAAAUACGUAGCUUGUGAAUUCCUGGACUUUGCUACUACAUGAUAGUAUUGGUGUUGCCUGCUGGAUUGCUGUCAUUGGACCCUAGGAAUGUUUAAUUCUAGUUUUGGAGAAUUUUUUUUUGAGAACAAACUGAUUUAUUAUAUAUAAAAGAGAACGAAGAGGACAAAACCCCCUCAACUGGGCAAAUUACACUGCUAAAGAGGAAUGAAAAUAGACCAAGUCCGAGACAAAAGCAGCACCACGUUUAGCUAAUUUAUCUGCUUCUGUAUUAGCUUCACGAUAGACAUGGGAAAAUUUCGAGAAUUAUCUUGAAGGGAAAGGAAUUCAGCUUGGUUUACCUAUCAGAUGCAUGUAGUGUAUAAGAGAAUCAGGACCCUUGCUGUACCUUCUUAGUGCUUUGUUCCAUCCUUUUAUUUUCUGUUUUUUCCAUUACUUAUUCUUUUUUUGUAUUAAGGGUUAGGGCACCCCUUGUGCCUCCUAUUAAUACAAUCUUUUGGUUUACCAAAAAAAUGUAUAUCAACUCUGUAAUUGCAGUUUUAGCUAUUUUCCUUUGUUGUA